rnacentral:rRNA from 1 species
GAUGAACGCUGGCGGUAUGCUUUACACAUGCAAGUCGAACGAAAGUUUUUUAAACUUUAGUGGCGGACGGGUGAGUAACACGUGAGAAUUUACCUUUAGGAGGGGAAUAACAAUUGGAAACAAUUGCUAAUGCCGCAUAUUAUUAAAACAAUAAAAGAAGAAAUUCGCCUAAAGAAAAGCUUGCGUCUGAUUAGCUAGUUGGUGGGGUAAAGGCCUACCAAGGCGACGAUCAGUAGCUGGUUUGAGAGGAUGACCAGUCACACUGGAACUGAGACACGGUCCAGACUCCUGCGGGAGGCAGCAGUGGGGAAUAUUGGACAAUGGGCGCAAGCCUGAUCCAGCAAUGCCGCGUGUGUGAAGAAGGCCUGCGGGUUGUAAAGCACUUUAUCGGGAAAGAAAUGCCUAAGGUUAAUACCCUUGGGUCUUGACGGUACCCGUUGAAUAAGCACCGGCUAACUCCGUGCCAGCCGCCGCGGUAAUU